rnacentral:rRNA from 1 species
AGGUGUAUGGUUAAGUCCCACAACGAGCGCAACCCUCGUCGCUAGUAAUUCCCUAGCGAGACCGCCUCGCAAAACGAGGAGGAAGGCGGGGAUGGCGUCAAGUCAGCAUGGCCUUUAUACCCUGGGCGACACACACGCUACAAUGGGUGGUACAGUAGGUAGCGAAGGAGCGAUCCGGAGCAAAUCCUUAAAACCAUCCUCAGUACGGAUUGCAGGCUGAGACCCGCCUGCAUGAAGCCGGAGUUGCUAGUAACCGCAUAUCAGCAUGGUGCCGGUGAACUACGUUCUCGGGCCUU